ensembl:lncRNA
GUCAUUUUAAAGAUUUUUAAAUUAGCUAAAUAUAGACCUUAUGCAUCAGAGAAACGAGUGCGCAGCCAUCUUUAGAAUUUAGUCUUUGAACUUCUGUUUUUGCAGUAGCAUCACUGUUGAAGAGUAAUUAGCUGGUGAAGUGGAUUUAUUUAUUGUAGAGUUAAGAAAGUUAUCAUGUGCAUUGUAAUGUUUGAAGCGGAUGUCAUAGCAAAUGCCAGUAUACCGGGAAGAUUUUAAAAUGAGCGGUUCAUUCCUAAAUUCUUGCAAACUUACCUUGACGCUGUAGAAAUAUAAACAGAAGACAGAAGACAAUGAGUGCAGCACUAAAAAGGGGUGGAGCUACAUGAGGUCUAUAAGUAUUCAAAGUUGAUGUGCUGUUCACCUGUGCUGGCUUUUAAGUGAAUGUGUUAUUGCUUUGCUAGCUCCUCACAGCCCAAAAAUAUCAUAAACCAGAGCAAAAAUGAAAAUGGGGACAGGAAGUGCACACAAAAGCAGAAUUGUUAGCUGCCGCCAUCUGAACACUUACAUCUGUGAGCGAGCGGAUCAGGACAGAUGGAUACAGCUGCCUUGAAGGCCUGGGGUUUCAGAUUGUUACAAUUCUUCAGCAGAUUUGAGCAUUGAUGCUUUUUACGCCUGUUGCCCUUUUGAAACCACUUUCGGCAUCUCUGCACUCAUACCGUGUGAAUUUAUGGUCAGCUAUGUUUUUUCCAGCGCUCGGCUCGGGUCUGGAUUACGAUAGCACUUUCCCUGCUCUGGGUCACCAGUAUCAGCCUCACUCAACACCACAGCCAUAUAUAUAAUCCCAUCAGCCCCAGCAUGGAAGAAGAGGAUUUCAGGGUGACUAUGAGGACUUGGACAGAAGAUUAGGCCACUGAAUAUCUCAUUCCACCUCACAAAUGGAGAAGUCAUGGUCUCAUGCAGGACAGAGGAAAAAGUAAACACGCUGCCUAAUGAUUCGACAAAAACACACUUAGGAAAUGAUGGCAUCAGUUAUGCAGGAGAGUUUGACCUGCCAGGGGAAAAAUGCAAUGAUCCAUGUAAGUGGCUGUGACAUUCAGCUGGUGUCUAAAAAGGGCCGUCUCUCACGCACACCUGCCCUCCAUCUGUUAUUAACACAUGCUGAGGAUUCUGUUUGCUUGACACUCUCAUCUUCCUCGUUCUCCACUUCCUCCACCAUACAGGAUCAGGGUCGAUCUCCUGCUCAGCCCUCUGAGCGAGAAUCUGAGAAUCUCCCCCCGAGACGCCCUCUGAAACUCACUCCGCUAGAGCUCCCGCUAGAGGUGCAGCGGCAGAAGCUCAAAAGUGCUCAGGAGGCAAAAGUGGCGAUCUGUAAGUCAGACAGGAUAUAUCCCAGAAAAGCAAAAGUUUGUUGGCAGGACGGCCCAGACAUAUCGCCAGGACGCUACCCGCUGAGUACCAUCACAGAGCCACACAAACCACAGCUACCUGUAAAUCAAUUCAAGCUUGCUUCUGAUAGGCUAGCGGGAAAGGAGGCGGAGCAAAUGGAAGGUAAUCCGACAGUCCACUUAACAUGUGCUCACGAAAAUGUCUGCCAAUCAAAGCAUGGCAACAGCCAAUCAGCAGCUCCCGCUAAGAACCAGGAUGCAGUCAAGAGGCGCCUAAGACUGCGAAGAACCCAGUGGCUAGAGGAGGAUCAAAGCAAAUCCAGCUCAUCAGCAGGUGGAUUAUCUGCUGAUGAGAGCAAACUGGCAUCAGCUGGCCCUGGCAAGGGUCAGCGUGCUGCUGAGAAGGUCCUUCAAGAUGCCGGCCAUGUGCUGGAAAAGGCAUCGUAGAGGAACCCAGGAGAACCCGGGACAGUGGUUAAAGCGGGGAUAAGGAUGGCUGUUAAUGACAUUCCAGAAGCCGUACUCUGACUCUUUGACCCAAAGAGGAAGUGCAGCACAUGGUGUUGGGGUUAGAGACUUGAACAUGGCAAUAGAGUCAUGUUUCUGGAGGAUUUUCCCUCUUGGUUUUAGAAGGGAAAACAGCUGAGAUGAAGCUUCCAGGAAUGUAGAAAACGGCACAACAUUACUGAUCUAAAUAUGGGUAUAUAUAAGUGAUUAUAUUUUGAUUAUCUCAAAAUAAAUUCAGAUCAGGAUCUUUACA